AGAUUCUAUUGGAAAUAAUACAUUUUUUAGGUUAUAAAUUCAAGGAAUCUUGGAAAAUUCCAGAAAAAAAUGGACUUAAUGGUGAUUUUAUUGGAUAUAAUACAUUAUUUAGGUUAUAAAUUCAAGGAAUCUUGGAAAAUUCCAGAAAAAAAUGGACUUAAUGGUGAUUUUAUUGGAUAUAAUACAUAAUUUAGGUUAUAAAUUCAAGGAAUCUUGGAAAAUUCCAGAAAAAAAUGGACUUAAUGGUGAUUUUAUUGGAUAUAAUACAUAAUUUAGGUUAUAAAUUCAAGGAAUCUUGGAAAAUUCCAGAAAAAAAUGGACUUAAUGGUGAUUUUAUUUGAUAUAAUACAUAUUUGAAGUUAUAAAUGUUAGGAAUAUUGGAAAAUUAUAGGAAUAUAUUGAAUUUUACGAAG